CGGACGGGUGAGUAAUGUAUGGGGAUCUGCCUGAUGGCGGGGGAUAACUACUGGAAACGGUAGCUAAUACCGCAUAACGUCGCAAGACCAAAGAGGGGGACCUUCGGGCCUCUUGCCAUCGGAUGUGCCCAGAUGGGAUUAGCUAGUAGGUGGGGUAACGGCUCACCUAGGCGACGAUCCCUAGCUGGUCUGAGAGGAUGAUCAGCCACACUGGGACUGAGACACGGCCCAG
rnacentral:rRNA from 1 species